GAAUUCGCCCUUAGAGUUUGAUCCUGGCUCAGGAUGAACGCUGGCGGCGUGCCUAACACAUGCAAGUCGAGCGAAGCACUUUACUUGGAUUUCUUCGGAAUGACGAGUGAUUUGACUGAGCGGCGGACGGGUGAGUAACGCGUGGGUAACCUGCCUCACACAGGGGGAUAACAGUUAGAAAUGACUGCUAAUACCGCAUAAGACCCCAGCACCGCAUGGUGCAGUGGUAAAAACUCCGGUGGUGUGAGAUGGACCCGCGUCUGAUUAGGUAGUUGGUGAGGUAACGGCUCACCAAGCCGACGAUCAGUAGCCGGCCUGAGAGGGUGGACGGCCACAUUGGGACUGAGACACGGCCCAAACUCCUACGGGAGGCAGCAGUGGGGAAUAUUGCACAAUGGGGGAAACCCUGAUGCAGCGACGCCGCGUGGAGGAAGAAGGUCUUCGGAUUGUAAACUCCUGUUGUUGAGGAAGAUAAUGACGGUACUCAACAAGGAAGUGACGGCUAACUACGUGCCAGCAGCCGCGGUAAAACGUAGGUCACAAGCGUUGUCCGGAAUUACUGGGUGUAAAGGGAGCGCAGGCGGGAAGACAAGUUGGAAGUGAAAUCUAUGGGCUCAACCCAUAAACUGCUUUCAAAACUGUUUUUCUUGAGUAGUGCAGAGGUAGGCGGAAUUCCCGGUGUAGCGGUGGAAUGCGUAGAUAUCGGGAGGAACACCAGUGGCGAAGGCGGCCUACUGGGCACCAACUGACGCUGAGGCUCGAAAGUGUGGGUAGCAAACAGGAUUAGAUACCCUGGUAGUCCACACCGUAAACGAUGAUUACUAGGUGUUGGAGGAUUGACCCCUUCAGUGCCGCAGUUAACACAAUAAGUAAUCCACCUGGGGAGUACGACCGCAAGGUUGAAACUCAAAGGAAUUGACGGGGGCCCGCACAAGCAGUGGAGUAUGUGGUUUAAUUCGAAGCAACGCGAAGAACCUUACCAGGUCUUGACAUCCGAUGCAUAGUGCGGAGAUGCAUGAAGUCCUUCGGGACAUCGAGACAGGUGGUGCAUGGUUGUCGUCAGCUCGUGUCGUGAGAUGUUGGGUUAAGUCCCGCAACGAGCGCAACCCUUAUUGCCAGUUACUACGAAAGAGGACUCUGGCGAGACUGCCGUUGACAAAACGGAGGAAGGUGGGGAUGACGUCAAAUCAUCAUGCCCUUUAUGACCUGGGCUACACACGUACUACAAUGGCGUUUAACAAAGAGAAGCAAGACCGCGAGGUGGAGCAAAACUCAAAAACAACGUCUCAGUUCAGAUUGCAGGCUGCAACUCGCCUGCAUGAAGUCGGAAUCGCUAGUAAUCGCGGAUCAGCAUGCCGCGGUGAAUACGUUCCCGGGCCUUGCACACACCGCCCGUCA
rnacentral:rRNA from 1 species